GGGUGCUUAGCUCAGCGGUAGAGCACUUCCUUCACACGGAAGGGGCCACAGGUUCGAUCCCUGUAGCACCCA
rnacentral:tRNA from 1 species